CAGGCGUAUGGGGAGGGCGCGUUGUUGGAGGUGGAAGGGGGGGAAUUGGGGAGUGCGGUUAAGUCGUGCAACUGCCGUUGUCUAAAAUGCGUGGUUUUGGCUGGGCAGCUGCUUAACCCAUUUGUUAGUCUCUACGAAUGAAGCCUACGGAACUGGUUUGUGGCUGAUUCUCCACUGCUCCCAGCCAUCGGGCUCCUGUGGUCACAGAAGAGCUGCCCAGCACUGGGUAGGCAGCACAGAAGGAACUUUUUGGAUGCUCCCAGCCACGUGACAGCAGGUUAACUGCUUUAUUCCCCAGCACAUGUGUUGCUGUGUGGCCGCUUGGUGCUCCUGCAUGAAAAUAAACUGUAAAAUCAUCACUUAUUCACAUUUUACUACUGUAAAUUUACAGUGAAAUGGACAACUACUUCAUACUCCCUAUUAUACAUCUGUAACCAAAGUAAGAUAGCAAAGGAGGUGAAGAGGAAAUAACCUGCUGGGGACGUCCAUUCUAACAGCUGAAAAUGGAGUUGUCAGGGCUGCCUGUGGUUCCAUUAGGGCAGGGCCUGCAGCCCACCUUGUCCCUCCCCACCCACCAUGGGUAUGGCGCCAGGACACCAGAUACCUCCCUGGGGCUGAGCCAGGCCAUGGGCUUGGAGUGGGGCAGGGCUUUGGGCAGCUGGAGCCCAACCCUGCUAUCACCUUGUUAGGACAGGAACUGGUGGCCCCAGGCUGAUGGAGUUGUCCCGUUAGUCUAAAAAGCUGAAAGUUUGGAUAAUUAUGAGUGUAGCUCAUCACAGUACCCAUGAUGUGAUCUCUGGCUGGGAGAACAGUGCUCAGCCCUGUGAGUGAAUAUGUGUGAACAUGCCCUCAAAUGGGGCCUGGGCACUGCCGCACACAUGUCCGUGGUGGUGGCUUGGA